rnacentral:rRNA from 1 species
GAUGAACGCUAGCGGCAGGCUUAAUACAUGCAAGUCGAGGGGCAGCAGGACUGUAGCAAUACAGUUGCUGGCGACCGGCAAACGGGUGCGGAACACGUACGCAACCUUCCUUUAAGUGAGGGGUAGCCCAGGGAAACUUGGAUUAAUACCUCGUAAUAUUUGAGAGUGGCAUCACUCUCUAAUUAUAGCUCCGGCGCUUAAAGAUGGGCGUGCGACUGAUUAGGUAGUUGGCGGGGUAACGGCCCACCAAGCCUGCGAUCAGUAACUGGUGUGAGAGCACGACCAGUCACACGGGCACUGAGACACGGGCCAGACUCCUACGGGAGGCAGCAGUGGGGAAUUUCGGACAAUGGGCGAAAGCCUGAUCCAGCCAUGCCGCGUGCAGGAUGAAGGCCUUCGGGUUGUAAACUGCUUUUGUACGGAACGAAAAGGUUUGGCCUAAUAAGCUGAGCUCAUGACGGUACCGUAAGAAUAAGCACCGGCUAACUACGUGCCAGCAGCCGCGGUAACAC